rnacentral:rRNA from 1 species
GCAUGCUUUACACAUGCAAGUCGAACGGCAGCACGGGCUUCGGCCUGGUGGCGAGUGGCGAACGGGUGAGUAAUAUAUCGGAACGUACCCAGAAGUGGGGGAUAACGUAGCGAAAGUUACGCUAAUACCGCAUACGAUCUACGGAUGAAAGUGGGGGACCUUCGGGCCUCAUGCUUGUGGAGCGGCCGAUAUCUGAUUAGCUAGUAGGUAGGGUAAAGGCCUACCUAGGCGACGAUCAGUAGCUGGUCUGAGAGGACGACCAGCCACACUGGGACUGAGACACGGCCCAGACUCCUACGGGAGGCAGCAGUGGGGAAUUUUGGACAAUGGGCGCAAGCCUGAUCCAGCAAUGCCGCGUGAGUGAAGAAGGCCUUCGGGUUGUAAAGCUCUUUUGUCAGGGAAGAAACGGCUGAGGUUAAUACCUUCGGCUAAUGACGGUACCUGAAGAAUAAGCACCGGCUAACUACGUGCCAGCAGCCGCGGUAAUACGUAGGGUGCAAGCGUUAAUCGGAAUUACUGGGCGUAAAGCGUGCGCAGGCGGUUUUGUAAGUCUGACGUGAAAUCCCCGGGCUCAACCUGGGAAUUGCGUUGGAGACUGCAAGGCUGGAGUCUGGCAGAGGGGGGUAGAAUUCCACGUGUAGCAGUGAAAUGCGUAGAGAUGUGGAGGAACACCGAUGGCGAAGGCAGCCCCCUGGGUCAAGACUGACGCUCAUGCACGAAAGCGUGGGGAGCAAACAGGAUUAGAUACCCUGGUAGUCCACGCCCUAAACGAUGUCUACUAGUUGUCGGGUUUUAAUUAACUUGGUAACGCAGCUAACGCGUGAAGUAGACCGCCUGGGGAGUACGGUCGCAAGAUUAAAACUCAAAGGAAUUGACGGGGACCCGCACAAGCGGUGGAUGAUGUGGAUUAAUUCGAUGCAACGCGAAAAACCUUACCUACCCUUGACAUGGAAGGAAUCCCGAAGAGA